CCCGCUUAAAAUCUCUGACUAAGCUCACAUUCCUCGCUGUUUAGUGUUUGCUCCAAAUUUCGUAAUUCGCUCCAAAUCUCUGGCUAAAGCUCACAUUCCUCCAUUUUCUAUUUCAUAUUCCACUCAUUCACAAUGCACACAUUUCAGUCUUCAGCGAUUUAUCCGCCUGCAGCAGCGAUAUCUCCGGAGAGCUCGAGAGGCUCGCCACCGUCUUCCCCUCCGAACCCGCUGUUGACGGGGACCGCGAGCCCGAACCCGGGCCCGAGCGUUGCCUAGGGUUUCUCUAGUGGGAGAGUUUCUCCACGGAAAUAACCGAGAUUAUCUCGCUGGAGAAUCUUCAGCCGCGGGGGCAGUGAAGCCGCUGGUGGAACUGGUGGCGGAGGAAGGGAGCGGGAUAGGAGCCAAGGAGAUGGUGCUGCUGAACAGUUGGCGGGGAUUGAGGAGGGAAAGGAGGCGAUGGUGGAAGAAGGUGGUAUAGCUGCGCUUGUGGAAGCAAUUGAAGAUGGGUAGGAGAAAGGGUAGGAGUUCGUUGUUGACGUUCAACUCUGUGCUCACAGUGUUAGUAACAGAGGCUUGCUUGUGAGAGAGGGUGGAAUUCCUCCUCUCGUGGCUCUUUGUCACUGUUUGAGCUAAGCACAAGGAAUACUUGUUUGUUGCUUCCUAUACCCUUAGCUCCCACCGCGUAUUGUUGUUUCUCAGCUAUGUUUAAUUGUUUAUACUAAUGUCCAAUCAUUUCUGGUAUGUGAUAGUGAGGUAUUCAGAAAGACCUUUAAGGCUGAGAAUCCUAAUGUGAAGGCGGUAUCUGCUGUUGGGAAAGCUGGAAUGGAAGUGCUGAAAAAGCUCCAUUUUAAGCCAAGGCUGCAAAAAUGAAAGCUGAGUAUGAAAAACUUAUGAAAGCUUAUGAUAAGAAGCAGGCAACCUCAGCAGAUGAUGAUGAUGAAUCAGACUAGUCCAAAUCUGAGGUGAAUGGUUAAGAUGAUGAAGCCAGUAAAGAGGUAUAUAUUCUCCGCUCUUUCUUGAACUGAGCAUGAUAAGGAGGUUGCACUUAAUGAAUACUAUUUAUAAUUCUUGCAAACUUUUGUUUCAAGAUUUUAGUUCUAGAGGGUGAACAUGAGAAAUAGAAAGAAGUUUUAGUGAGGGAGUAAAUGUAGUGAAUUUAGCUUGUAUUUGUUUUCAGGAUGCAACAUUCAUUUAUCUCUUUCCAAGAAACUAAAUGUGACUGAUAAUAAUUGGAUUCAUGUUCAAACUCCGUUGUUUCAAAUACACCUUAGUAUUCAAAUUUCUUAUUUAA